CUCUGGGGGUUUCUGUGGCCUGCCUGGGAGUUGGCUGGCGGCCGGCCAGCGCUCAUCUGCUGAAGAGCUGUCACUCUUGACUUUGAUGGCUGAGCUAUGUGAGGACAUGUGUUUGGAAAGAAGGCCUAAAGACCGGGGAUGUUUCUCUGAAAUCAAUACUUCUGUUUAUCACCUGGCUGUCAAAACACUGGGACUGCCUGCUGUGAGCUUUCCGUUGAGAGAACAUCUGAGCCCUUGGGGUCUAGGUCCCGGGCAACGCACAAGAGCCCUUCCAAACUACCCCGUCUCCCAGAGGACCAAUGCCCUUUAGGGCCCUUCCAGCCUGUCAGUUACGGCAAGCCAAUCGGUCACAUUAGCACCUCGGUCCUCAUGACGGAGCUUGUUUGUUUUACACAGAGAUGGCUAACAGUCUUCACAGUCUGUUAGCGCACCACAGUGACGUUGAUGAGGCUUGACAGGGCGGCUUGUUUGUGUAGCGCAGGCUGGAGAGUACGGGAGUAAAGGGCACGUGCUCCCCAAACACGCGGUACUGGGUUCAGUUCCUGCUCUCCCCACUUAGCUCUGAGCUGGUCCCGGUGCCCUGACUUCAAGCAAUCCCUUCUUCAUCUGUAGUUUGGGCAUCAUAAUGGAAGGCGCUUGUUGUGCCUUAAAUAAGAGCUGGGGACCAAACCCAGGGCCUUGCGCUUCCUAGGGUUCCGGAUGGAAAAAAUACAAAGCACUCAAUGGGCCCAAGGGCAUCACUGUUAUGAACCAAAGGAUCCCAGAUUCCGAUGCUGUGUCUAAUCAGCCAUAAAAUGCCUGCGAAUUGGAUUAAGGAAACAGCUCGCUACUUUGGUGGCUUUUAACACUGUCCCUGAGGCUAGUCUGAUGGGGGAGGACAGCAGCAAGCCUGGCCCAGGACCACCCCUCACUGCUGCUGCCUAACAGCCUCUCUCAAAGGCCCUGCAUCAAUCAGCCGACUGGAAUUGAGGACACCUAACUAAUAAAUGGUAAUCCUGAAGCCCCUUCUUGGUUAAAAGAUCAAGAUCCCAGAAUCCCGUUUUACCAGGCUAGAUUGUUGGAUAUACCUCAGAGCUGAUGGUAAUUUGGAAGGUGGGGAGGGGCACUGUGGGGCCCUUGAACCCCGAUGCCAUUCACCUGUGUUGGCUGCAAAAUCACCUCCUCAGGAAACCUAACCAGCUAGUGAGCAAAAGCCUUCUGGUUCUCCCAGUAUAUGGUGCCCCUACCUACAUCUGGAACGCUGUCUUAGGGAAGAGUGGGCACUACUAAUGGUCCUCUUUGCUGGCUGCCCCUUUUCCUGGUCCAGCUGCCUUCAACCAUUGACCGUUAAAGUUGAGAACUAAAAUGUCUACCAAAGGGUCAUGUGUUAAAAUCUUGGUCUCCUGCCUAUGGUACUGUUGGCAGGCACAGCCUGUGGUACUAUUUAUUGGUGGGCACAGCCUAUGCUACUGUUGGCAGGUACUGUAAGAAGGGGAGGAAGUUAGGCUAUUGAGAGGCUGAGGGGAAGGGGAUGGCACUCUGGUCCCUUCCCUUUUCUCUUUCAGGCUGCCCUGAGGGAAACAGCUCCAUGCUGCCAGCAGCAUGUGCAACCUCAAACUUGAAACCUUCACAUUUGUGAGCCACACAAACCUUUCCUCUUUCAGUGCUGAUUCUUCCCCUCUCUUGCCCUAACAGUUACUUGGUAUGUCUUUCUGUCCCCUUUCCUCUAGAACCAUAAUGACAAAGCAACUUCCAAGUAGCAAUGGCUGCUUGGCGAAUACAGGGAGGUUUUUGUUUUUGUUUUUUUUUUGGGGGGAGGGGUCUCAUGUAGCCCAGGAUGACCUCAAAUUGAUAUAGCUGAAGCGGACCUCGAGUUCCUAAUAUUCCUUCUUUUACCGCAGGAGACUCAAGAUUACAGGUAUAUGCCACCACACCUGGACGCUAAGUACAGUUUUCGCCUACGUCUAUGUUCCAUGUGGCAUUUGGAGCGAAUUUACGUUUUAAAAUAUUUGUUUCUGAAAUUGAGAGGUAACUGAAUGUUCUGAAGAUUUUAUUCCCAGUAAAACCUCCAAGAAAUGAGCAGGGAUCCCCAAAUGCUGUCCUGAGUAAUCAGAGGCUGCACACACUCGCUCCCUGCUGUGAACUCUUCCCAAGUCCUCCAAGGAGCCCAGUGUGUGUGAAGGGAAAAGGUGGCAGGGAGGGGGUAGGGAUGUGGGAGGAACUGACUUUGGCCUUUGUCCGUCUACUCUAAUCACCCAUGAGGGUGUUCUCUCGGAAUGUGGGGCGCCUCAUUUAGCCAGCAAAGAAAUCGCUUACUUCGGACUUCAUGAGGAUUUUUUUAAAAAUUGAGUUGUAAUUGAAAAGAAAAAACAACAACAAACAACUCUUAGACAUUCCAGGGUUUAUUCAUAAGCCUGAUUCAGGAGACUUAGUGUGUGUGUGUUCAUGUGUGUGUGUGUGUGUGUGUGUGUGUGUGUGUGUGUGUCUGUAUGUAUGUCUGUGUGUCUGUGUGUGUCUGUGUGUUUCUCUGUGUGUGUGUGUAUCUGUGUGUGUGUCUAUGUGUGUGUGUCUGUGUGUGUGUAUGUCUGUGUAUGUGUCUGUGUGUAUGUCUGUGCGUGUGUACCUGUGUGUGUGUCUGUGUGUGUGUGUCUGUGUGUGUGUGUCUGUAUGUAUAUCUGUGUGUGUCUGUGUAUGUGUGUGUCUGUGUGUGUGUGUCUGUGUGUGUGUGUCUGUGUGUACACCUGUGUGUGUGUGUCUCUCUCUCUCUGUGUAUGUCUGUGGGUAUAUACGUAUGUGCAUCCAUGUGUGUAUCCUUGAAUGUGUGUUUGUCUGUGCAUGUGUCUAUGUAUGUAUCUGUCUGUGCAUGUGUCUGUCUGUGUAUGAAUACUCAUGUACCACGGCCAGACCAUGGCAAAGUUAAGGAGAAUGUCAGGAGAUUUUUGUAUAGGACAUUAAUUCUUCCCUAAAUUAAAGACCAGAAUAAGGUUCAGCCAGGUCUGUGGUGCCCAUAAAACACUUUCCAUUAAAUCAAAUAUUCUCUAGUCUUUGGAGAACUGAGGGUUUGCAGAGCAGGCUGCAUUUGGCAUUACAGACCCUAAUGUCAGUUUCUAGCCCUACUUAAGAAAACCCCAAGGGAGUGCAGUCAGCUUUGGAUGCAAAACUUCUUGGCAAGAGUUAUACAUCAUAUAAAAUAAUUAAAGGACUAUGAAAAAUAAAGCCAGGGUGCUGGAGAGAUGACUCAGUGGUUAAGAGCAUUGGCUGCCCUUCUAGAAGUCCUGAGUUAAAAUCCCAGCCUAUACAUUAAAUAAAUAAAUGUUUUAAAAAAAAGAGCAAGUGUUGUUUCUCAAAGGGUGGGAGUUCUGUUCCCAGAGCCCACGGCUCACAAAAUCCAGCUGCAGGGGAUCAAUGGCCGCCUGGAUCUCUUUGGGCACCACAGGUGUAUUCACAAACCCACGGACAGACACACAAACACAUAAGAAUUAUUCUUAAAAUAAGAAUAAUUGGGACUAGAGAGCUGGCUUGGCACUUGAGAACACUGGCUGUUCUUCUGGAAGAUUGGGGUUUGAUUCCCAGUCCCACUGUAACUCCAGUCCAGGGAAAUCUGACUCCUUGUUUCUGGCCUCUGUGGGCACCCAGGAUGAAUGCAUGUGAUGCACAGACAGAGUUGCGGGAAAAUACUUUUUAAAAUAAAGUCUUUUUUAAAAA